UGGGGAAUAUUGCACAAUGGGCGAAAGCCUGAUGCAGCGACGCCGCGUGAGGGAUGACGGCCUUCGGGUUGUAAACCUCUUUCAGCAGGGAUGAAGCGCAAGUGACGGUACCUGCAGAAGAAGCACCGGCUAACUACGUGCCAGCAGCCGCGGUAAUACGUAGGGUGCAAGCGUUGUCCGGAAUUACUGGGCGUAAAGAGUUCGUAGGCGGUUUGUCGCGUCGUUUGUGAAAACCAGCAGCUCAACUGCUGGCUUGCAGGCGAUACGGGCAGACUUGAGUACUGCAGGGGAGACUGGAAUUCCUGGUGUAGCGGUGAAAUGCGCAGAUAUCAGGGGGAACACCGGUGGCGAAGGCGGGUCUCUGGGCAGUAACUGACGCUGAGGAACGAAAGCGUGGGUAGCGAACAGG
rnacentral:rRNA from 1 species